rnacentral:rRNA from 1 species
ACGAACGCUGGCGGCAGGCUUAACACAUGCAAGUCGAACGAAGUCUUCGGACUUAGUGGCGCACGGGUGAGUAACACGUGGGAAUAUACCUUUUGGUACGGAACAACGUCUGGAAACGGACGCUAAUACCGUAUGGUCCCUUCGGGGUAAAGAUUUAUCGCCAAAAGAGUAGCCCGCGUUGGAUUAGCUAGUUGGUAAGGUAAUGGCUUACCAAGGCGACGAUCCAUAGCUGGUCUGAGAGGACGAUCAGCCACACUGGGACUGAGACACGGCCCAGACUCCUACGGGAGGCAGCAGUUAGGAAUAUUGGACAAUGGGCGCAAGCCUGAUCCAGCCAUGCCGCGUGAGUGAUGAAGGCCUUCGGGUUGUAAAGCUCUUUAGUCCACGAAUAUAAUGACUGUAGUGGAAGAAUAAGCCCCGGCUAACUUCGU